rnacentral:rRNA from 1 species
UACAGAGGGGGCAAGCGUUGUUCGGAAUUACUGGGCGUAAAGGGCGCGUAGGCGGCCUGCUAAGUCGAACGUGAAAUCCCUGGGCUCAACCCAGGAACUGCGUCCGAUACUGGUUGGCUUGAAUCCGGGAGAGGGAUGUGGAAUUCCAGGUGUAGCGGUGAAAUGCGUAGAUAUCUGGAGGAACACCGGUGGCGAAGGCGACAUCCUGGACCGGUAUUGACGCUGAGGAGCGAAAGCGUGGGGAGCAAACAGG